rnacentral:rRNA from 1 species
AACGAACGCUGGCGGCAGGCUUAACACAUGCAAGUCGAGCGAGGAUUUCGGUCCUAGCGGCGGACGGGUGAGUAACGCGUGGGAACGUGCCCCUUUCUUCGGAAUAGCCCUGGGAAACUGGGAGUAAUGCCGGAUACGUCCCGUAAGGGAGAAAGAUUUAUCGGAGAGGGAUCGGCCCGCGUUGGAUUAGGUAGUUGGUGGGGUAACGGCCUACCAAGCCGACGAUCCAUAGCUGGUUUGAGAGGAUGAUCAGCCACACUGGGACUGAGACACGGCCCAGACACCUACGGGUGGCAG